rnacentral:antisense_RNA from 1 species
AAUGCAAGUGUUUAACAGAUGCUUCACUAUUAAAAUAUUUUCCCCCCAAGUCUCAAAUAUUGAAGAAUCUCUAACCAGGGACACCAGUCCCAACGAAGACCUUGGGCGAUUUCAAAGUGCGGGCACCUCGAUUCCCCGAAUCUGUAGUGUGGCUGGUAUCGGUGUUUCCCUGGUUUAACUAGCCUGCUUGAAGGCGCAGAUCAUUCAUGGGGAAGUAAAACCGAAACCAGUCCUCUCCACCCCCUGCGGGUCUUCACUUUCCCAGUCUACAUCUGCCUGUGACUCCAGAAAGACAAACUGCAGAUUGGCCAAGGUCCAGCCUAAAUGUUACCUCCUCCAGGGAGCCUUUCCAGAUACUGCUUCUCCUCUCUCCCCCAACUCCCUCCCACAAAUGAAGUAUUCUCUUCUGAAUUCCUUCCUGGUGCUGUCACUUGUAUUGUUUUGGGUAGAUCUCUGGGCAUGCAUAUGUCACCUUCUGUGACUGUGGGUUUCUUGACAACCUAAUCAAUGCAUUGAACAAAGGAGAUGUUUAGACAACCCAUAUAAAAUGAAUGACUAAGAGAAAUCGGGUGAAUACCGUCUACCCCAAUUGCAAUCAGAUUAGUUUCCUCUAUUUUGAAAACGAUUAGAACUAGUAGAGGAGUUA